UACGAAGGGGGCUAGCGUUGCUCGGAAUUACUGGGCGUAAAGGGCGCGUAGGCGGAUGUUUAAGUCGGGGGUGAAAGCCCGGGGCUCAACCUCGGAAUUGCCUUUGAUACUGGACAUCUUGAGUACGGGAGAGGUGAGUGGAACUCCGAGUGUAGAGGUGAAAUUCGUAGAUAUUCGGAAGAACACCAGUGGCGAAGGCGACUCACUGGCCCGUUACUGACGCUGAGGCGCGAAAGCGUGGGGAGCAAACAGG
rnacentral:rRNA from 1 species